GANGGUCCAGCCUGCCCAGUGACCAAAAGUUCAACGGCCGCGGUAUUUUGACCGUGCAAAGGUAGCGCAAUCACUUGUCUUUUAAAUAAAGACCUGUAUGAAUGGCUAAACGAGGGCUUAACUGUCUCCCAUUUCAAGUCAGUAAAAUUGAUCUACCCGUGCAGAAGCGGGUAUAACCAUACAAGACGAGAAGACCCUUUGGAGCUUAAGGUAAAACUCAACCACGUCAAGCAACUGCCACAAGCAGCAGCAAACCUUGUGAUAAAUGAGAUUAUACCUUCGGUUGGGGCGACCACGGAGAAAAAGAAAGCCUCCAAGUGGAAUGGGGCAAUNCCCCUAAAACCAAGAGAGACAUCUCUAAGAUACAGAACAUCUGACCAUAAAUGAUCCGGCCACCUAANGACCGAUCAACGAACCAAGUUACCCUAGGGAUAACAGCGCAAUCCUCUCCCAGAGUCCAUAUCGACGAGAGGGUUUACGACCUCGAUGUUGGAUCAGGACAUCCUAAUGGUGCAGCCGCUAUUAAGGGUUCGUUUGUUCAACGAUUAAAGUCCUACGUGAUCAA
rnacentral:rRNA from 1 species